UAAAAAUUUUUAUUUAAUAACAAUAACAAAUCAAAUGAAAACAAAUAACAAUAAAAAAAAAUGCAGGUAAAAAGAAAAGGUCAGGGGAAAUUUUCCUAAUGCGGAGUCAUUAUAAAUUCUCAUCACUAAUAAAUAACAGCCAAAUCAACCACAAAUAAAAGGAAACAUAAAUUACAUUUAAUUUUUAGAGAAAACUAAUCCAAAAACCCAUUUAUAUUAAACCCGAAGCGAGAGAGAUGAGCCCCUAAUUUAAACAAUAGAGCCAAGGGCUUAAACCCUCGACCUAAACUAUAGACCAUUUUGAUUCGACUACCUUAUCUUUCAAAAUUUUAAUUUUAUCACUCAAUCUUUCGAUUUGUCUAAUUUAAGUCAUACGAUGGCUCUUCCAAUAUAAAAUUUAAGCUAAUUGCUUACUUUAAUAAAUUUACAGUUAUAUGAAUUGCAUAAAACGUAUUAAUUAAUCUAUAAACAUAAUCGAUGCACUCAAAAUUUAAAGUUAAAGAGUAAUUAACUAGCUCAAAUCAAAUAACUUAAAAGAUUAGGGAGCAAAAUCAAGAUUAUUAAAGAUUAUCUAGCCAGAUCAAAAUCGGUGAUAGUUAAGGUAAGUUCUAUACAUUUUUACUGAAAAAUUAAUAAAUUCUUUUCAAUUUUAACUAAGGGGCUGUUCCACGUAAAACUGCGAAAAAAAAUUUUUGGUGGACAAAAAAUUUUCGGAGGAAAAUAACUUUUACGCUCUUUAGCGUUUGGUUUGCAGGAAAAAAAAAUAAUUCUCCGUUACGGUUGUUUGGUUGAAAGGAAAAAAUAGAAAAAGAAAGAAAAAAUUAUAAAUAAAAAAUUAUUAUAUAUAUAUAUAUAUUUUUAUUUUAUAUAUUAUAUAUUAUUAAUAUAUAAUAAUUAUCAUAUUAUUUAUAUUAAUAUUAUAAUUUAUAUUUAUAAAUAAAAUAUAUUUAAAAUAUAUUAUACNUCCAUCCUCUCCUCAUGCGGUCCACGACAUGGAGCGGAUCUUGUGGACCGCGUGAUUUACAUCCCCCGCGCGGCGUGCCCAACGCCGCGCUUUUCGUUUUCGCUCGAUUCGAGCGGAAAACGAAAACUCCCAUUUUACGCCGAAUCUGUAAAAAAAAUUUUCCGGGAAAAUUUUUUUACAAGCAAUCAAACGCUAUAUUUUAACUUUUCAACCGAAAAAAAAUUUUCGGGAUGGUUUUACAACGAUCUAUGAAUUUGCAAAAACAAGAAAAAAAAAGAGUACAGAAAGAUGCAAAAAAAGAUUUUACAAGCAAUCUAUGAAUUUCUCACACUGCUUAUACUCGACUACAGGAAGUAAGAAGAAGAUUACCUAAAGUUGAUCCCAGAGUGUGGAAGCUGCACUGAAGAGAGAAAAUUAAAGCAUGUGUAACUACUGCCCAAAUGUGAGUAUUAUUUUAUGAAACGAAUGCAUGAACAAAAAUCUAAUGCAUUUUUAUAGCCAUGGAGGUAGGGGUGUAAAUGAGCCGAACACGAGCGAGCUGGGUCGGCUCGUGUUCGGCUCGUUUAAUAAACGAGCCGAACACGAGCUGACUCGUCGUUAAAGUAUCGAGCCAAAAAAUUUAGCUCGUGUUCUGCUCGUUAAUAAAUGAGCCGAACACGAGCUGACUCAUUAAAGUAUCGAGCCAAAAAAUUUAGCUCGUGUUCUGCUUGUUAAUAAACGAGCUGAACACGAGUCGGCUCACGAGCUCGCCAACGAACAAUAAAUUAAAAGAAUUAGAUUGAAUAUAUAUAAAAAAUAAAUUUAUAAAAUCUUAUCCAUUAGAUUUUGAUCUAAUUANUUCUAUGUUUGAAAAUUAACUUUCAAACAUUCACUUGGGGAUAAUAUUUCAUAUUCAAUUACUAAGAAAUUGUAUAAUAUAAUUUUUCAGUUGCAAUAUUUUAUAUUUACAUAUAAUUUCGAUGCAAAAAAUUUUAAAUUAGAAACAAGUUUACGAGUUUAUUUCAUAAUCAAAUCAUACAAAUAAAUUCAAAAUUGGCUAAACUUUUAACCUUGGUUUAAGUCAGGUUCGAGUUUAAGGGGUAGACUAAAUGAUUUCAAUAAUAUAUUAUUUUUUAUUUAAAAUUGAAUGCAAUAUAUUAGUAAAGAAAAGUUAAUUUAGGAAAGGUAAUUACACAUCUUCCUUACUUGUAACGCCAAACCUUUCUAGCUAAAGAGGAUAUGUUAUAAGAUGUAAAUUUAUCAAAAUGCCCUUGUUGCAAAAAAAAAAAAUUGCCCAAUUAAGAGUUGACCGAUACCGAUGGUAUCAAAUACUGGUCAUCCUCUUUUAAAGGGUGCAUCUUGGCCGUCCAUUUAAAAAAUUUUAAUGGUUAAGAUGUUUUUGGUGUAUAGGAGCAUUGCUCACAAAUAUAUAUCCAACAAAUCUGUUCAUAAAGCUAGUGUAUUAAUUACCAAAACAUCAAUUAUUUCAUACAAUUAUGAGUUUGGAGUAUGUAAAGUUAGACUUUGUGCGCAAAGUCGCAAACAUCGCCUAUAUUGAAGAUCUCUAUAGCCAUUAAAUUUCAUAAGAAUUUUUAUUUAAUAACAAUAACAAAUCAAAUGAAAACAAAUAACAAUAAAAAAAAAAUGCAGGUAAAAAGAAAAGGUCAGGGGAAAUUUUCCUAAUGCGGAGUCAUUAUAAAUUCUCAUCACUAAUAAAUAACAGCCAAAUCAACCACAAAUAAAAGGAAACAUAAAUUACAUUUAAUUUUUAGAGAAAACUAAUCCAAAAACACAUUUAUAUUAAACCCGAAGCGAGAGAGAUGAGCCCCUAAUUUAAACAAUAGAGCCAAGGGCUUAAACCCUCGACCUAAACUAUAGACCAUUUUGAUUCGACUACCUUAUCUUUCAAAAUUUUAAUUUUAGCACCCAAUCUUUCGAUUUGUCUAAUUUAAAUCAUACGAUGGCUCUUCCAAUAUAAAAUUUAAGCUAAUUGCUUAUUUUAAUAAAUUUACAGUUAUAUGAAUUGCAUAAGAUGUAUUAAUUAAUCUAUAAAGAUAAUCGAUGUACUCAAAAUUUAAAGUUAAAGAGUAAUUAACUAGUUCAAAUCAAAUAACUUAAAAGAUUAGGGAGCAAAAUCAAGAUUAUUAAAGAUUAUCUAGCCAGAUCAAAAUCGGUGAUAGUUAAGGUAAGUUCUAUACAUUUUUACUAAAAAAUUUAUAAAUUCUUUUCAAUUUUAACUAAGGGGCUAUUCCAUAUAAAACUGCGAAAAAAAAAUUUUGGUGGACAAAAAAUUUUCGGAGGAAAAUAACUUUUACGCUCUUUAGCGUUUGGUUUGCAGGAAAAAAAAAUAGUUUUUCAUUACGAUUAUUUGGUUGAAAGGAAAAAAUAGGAAAAGAAAGAAAAAAUUAUAAAUAAAA
rnacentral:lncRNA from 1 species